AUAUUCUGCCCUAUGAAAAUUUAAAUGGCUGCAGUAUUUUAACUGUACAAAGGUAGCAUAAUAAUUAGUCUUUUAAUUGAGGACUGGAAUGAAAGAUUAAAUGAGAAAUUUAUUUUAUUUUUUUUAAUUUUUUAAUUUUAUUUUUAGGUAAAAAAGCUUAAUUUUUCUUUUGGGACGAAAAGACCCUAUAGAACUUUAUUAUAACUAAUUUAAUUUAAAUAAGUUUUUAUAAUUAAUUUGUUUAUAAUUUUGUUGGGGUGACAGAUAAAAUAAACUUUAUUUUUGUAUUUCAUUUAUUUGUGAUUAUUAUGAUUUAAAAUUUAAUUACAAGAUUAAGUUACCUUAGGGAUAACAGCGUAAUUUUUAUGGGGAGUUCAUAUCUAUAUAAAAGUUUGCGACCUCGAUGUUGAAUUAAGAUUAAUUAAUGAAGAAGUAUUUGUUUAUAUUAAGUCUGUUCGACUUUUAAAUUCUU
rnacentral:rRNA from 1 species